rnacentral:rRNA from 1 species
GUGGGGAAUAUUGGACAAUGGGCGCAAGCCUGAUCCAGCCAUGCCGCGUGAGUGAUGAAGGCCCUAGGGUUGUAAAGCUCUUUCAGUGGGGACGAUAAUGACGGUACCCACAGAAGAAGCCCCGGCUAACUUCGUGCCAGCAGCCGCGGUAAUACGAAGGGGGCUAGCGUUGUUCGGAUUUACUGGGCGUAAAGCGCACGUAGGCGGAUCGUUAAGUCGAGGGUGAAAUCCUGGAGCUCAACUCCAGAACUGCCUUCGAUACUGGCGAUCUUGAGUCCGGAAGAGGUGAGUGGAACUCCUAGUGUAGAGGUGGAAUUCGUAGAUAUUAGGAAGAACACCAGUGGCGAAGGCGGCUCACUGGUCCGGUACUGACGCUGAGGUGCGAAAGCGUGGGGAGCAAACAGGAUUAGAAACCCGGGUAGUCC